rnacentral:rRNA from 1 species
UACGGGGGGGGCAAGCGUUGUUCGGAGUUACUGGGCGUAAAGGGUGUGUAGGCGGUUGUUUAAGUUUGGUGUGAAAUCUCCCGGCUCAACUGGGAGGGUGCGCCGAAUACUGAAUGACUAGAGUGCGGGAGAGGUGAGUGGAAUUCCUGGUGUAGCGGUGAAAUGCGUAGAUAUCAGGAGGAACACCGGUGGUGUAGACGGCUCACUGGACCGUAACUGACGCUGAGACACGAAAGCGUGGGUAGCAAACAGG